UACGUAAGGGGCAAGCGUUGUCCGGAAUCACUGGGCGUAAAGCGCACGUAGGCGGAUUUCUAAGUCAGGGGUGAAAUCCCGGAGCUCAACUCCGGAACUGCCUCUGAUACUGGAGAUCUCGAGUCCGGGAGAGGUGAGUGGAACUGCGAGUGUAGAGGUGAAAUUCGUAGAUAUUCGCAAGAACACCAGUGGCGAAGGCGGCUCACUGGCCCGGUACUGACGCUGAGGUGCGAAAGCGUGGGGAGCAAACAGG
rnacentral:rRNA from 1 species